rnacentral:rRNA from 1 species
CCUACGGGCCGCAGCAGUGGGGAAUUUUGGACAAUGGGCGCAAGCCUGAUCCAGUAAUGCCGCGUGCAGGAAGAAGGCCUUCGGGUUGUAAACUGCUUUUGUCAGGGAAGAAAUCCUCUGGGUUAAUACCUCGGGGGGAUGACGGUACCUGAAGAAUAAGCACCGGCUAACUACGUGCCAGCAGCCGCGGUAAUACGUAGGGUGCGAGCGUUAAUCGGAAUUACUGGGCGUAAAGCGUGCGCAGGCGGCUUUGCAAGACAGAUGUGAAAUCCCCGGGCUCAACCUGGGAACUGCAUUUGUGACUGCAAGGCUAGAGUACGGCAGAGGGGGAUGGAAUUCCGCGUGUAGCAGUGAAAUGCGUAGAUAUGCGGAGGAACACCAAUGGCGAAGGCAAUCCCCUGGGCCUGUACUGACGCUCAUGCACGAAAGCGUGGGGAGCA